ACGGGAGUAGAGCAACAGGGAUUGCCCCAGUAACGGCGAGUGAAGCGGCAACAGCUCAAAUUUGAAAUCUGGCCCUCGGGUCCGAGUUGUAAUUUGUAGAGGAUGCUUUUGGCGAGGUGCCUUCCGAGUUCCCUGGAACGGGACGCCAUAGAGGGUGAGAGCCCCGUCUGGUCGGACACCGAGCCUCUGUAAAGCUCCUUCGACGAGUCGAGUAGUUUGGGAAUGCUGCUCAAAAUGGGAGGUAUAUGUCUUCUAAAGCUAAAUAUUGGCCAGAGACCGAUAGCGCACAAGUAGAGUGAUCGAAAGAUGAAAAGCACUUUGAAAAGAGGGUUAAAAAGUACGUGAAAUUGUUGAAAGGGAAGCGCCUAUGACCAGACUUGAGCCCGGUGAAUCAUCCAGCGUUCUCGCUGGUGCACUUUGCCGGGCCCAGGCCAGCAUCAGUUUGGCGCGGGGGAUAAAGGUGACGGGAAUGUGGCUCCCUCGGGAGUGUUAUAGCCCGCUACGUAAUACCCUGCGCCGGACUGAGGUACGCGCAUUGCAAGGAUGCUGGCGUAAUGGUCAUCAGCGACCCGUCUUGAAACACGGACCAAGGAGUCGUCUUCGUAUGCGAGUGUUCGGGUGUCAAACCCCUACGCGUAAUGAAAGUGAACGCAGGUGAGAGCUUCGGCGCAUCAUCGACCGAUCCUGAUGUUCUCGGAUGGAUUUGAGUAAGAGCAUACGGGGCCGGACCCGAAAGAAGGUGAACUAUGCCUGUAUAGGGUGAAGCCAGAGGAAACUCUGGUGGAGGCUCGCAGCGGUUCUGACGUGCGAAUCGAUCGUCAAAUAUGGGCAUGGGGGCGAAAGACUAAUCGAACCUUCUAGUAGCUGGUUUCCGCGAGU
rnacentral:rRNA from 1 species